ensembl:lncRNA
GGCGGGACCGCGGCUGGCGGGGCGCAGCGCCUUCCCCGCCGUGAGGGACCCCUCAGACAUCCUCACUGCCGCGCGUGCUCCCCUCCAGGUAAGUUCGGCGCUGAGGGAGAAGCCCAGCGCCUCCUGCCCGCGUGGGAAGGGCGCGGGGAGGAAGAGCCGCAGUGCCGGGGCGGUGAAAGCCCCGUCACCAUCUCCCACCUGGACACCCCGCGGGGGCCGCCCCAUCGAAAAGCAAAAAGCGCUUCCUGCCAAAAGCACGUCUCCUGGGAGGGGUUGGAAGAUACUGGGAAUGAAGGAAAAGCAGCUGGUAAAGACAAGUUCUCAACUGUGCACUAAAUCCUACGGACUUCAUCAGAAUACCUCAGACCCAUCUGGUUGGAGCAAUUUGUUAAAUCCUUGGCGAUUGCACUAA